rnacentral:lncRNA from 1 species
AAACAGGCACCAAAUACCAAGCAAUACAAGUGCAUAAAAUGGUUACUGAUCUCCCAAAAAUACUCAACAAAAACAGAAUCAAAAUCACCACUGCAGCAAUAUAAUAAGAUGGUUUGUUCAAUCUCCUCAAAUUUCUCGCUCUUACAAGGUUGUUGUUGUUCUUGUUUGCCGUUGAUUCUUUGCUCUGUUUUGGCUUCUUAAUCGCCACGGUUUCUGAAUCAUCACUCGUGUUCUUCUCUUCUUUCUUGUCCUUCUGUUUCACAACCACAGGAACACAUUCAUCUGAAUUCUUGUAAGCAAAACGAACCAUAACUAUUUCUUCAGGGUCAGUUUGAGAGUAAAUCUUCUUCCUUUUUUCAUCAAGAUCCGUUAAAAGAGCAGAGAAUUUGUCGAGGCCACGGUCAGAGUAAGGAUUUUUC